rnacentral:rRNA from 1 species
UAAGGAAUAUUGGUCAAUGGACGCAAGUCUGAACCAGCCAUGCCGCGUGAAGGAUGAAGGUCCUCUGGAUUGUAAACUUCUUUUAUCUGGGACGAAAACGGGAUUUUUAUCUCAAUUGACGGUACCAGAGGAAUAAGCACCGGCUAACUCCGUGCCAGCAGCCGCGGUAAUACGGAGGGUGCGAGCGUUAUCCGGAUUUACUGGGUUUAAAGGGUGCGUAGGUGGGCUUAUAAGUCAGUGGUGAAAUCUCCGAGCUUAACUUGGAAACUGCCGUUGAUACUAUAGGUCUUGAAUUAUCUGGAGGUAAGCGGAAUAUGUCAUGUAGCGGUGAAAUGCUUAGAUAUGACAUAGAUCACCAAUUGCGAAGGCAGCUUACUACAUAUAAAUUGACGCUGAGGCACGAAAGCGUGGGGAUCAAACA